rnacentral:rRNA from 1 species
GACGAACGCUGGCGGCGUGCUUAACACAUGCAAGUCGAGCGGUAAGGCCCUUUCGGGGGUACACGAGCGGCGAACGGGUGAGUAACACGUGGGUGACCUGCCCUUAGCUCUGGGAUAAGCCUGGGAAACUGGGUCUAAUACCGGAUAUGACUCCAUGACGCAUGUUGUGGGGUGGAAAGCCUUGUGCGGCUAGGGAUGGGCCCGCGGCCUAUCAGCUUGUUGGUGGGGUGAUGGCCUACCAAGGCGACGACGGGUAGCCGGCCUGAGAGGGCGACCGGCCACACUGGGACUGAGACACGGCCCAGACUCCUACGGGAGGCAGCA